rnacentral:rRNA from 1 species
AACUGCGAAUGGCUCAUUAAAUCAGUUAUCGUUUAUUUGAUAGUACCUUACUACAUGGAUACCUGUGGUAAUUCUAGAGCUAAUACAUGCUGAAAACCUCGACUUCGGAAGGGGUGUAUUUAUUAGAUAAAAAACCAAUGCCCUUCGGGGCUCCUUGGUGAUUCAUAAUAACUUAACGAAUCGCAUGGCCUUGCGCCGGCGAUGGUUCAUUCAAAUUUCUGCCCUAUCAACUUUCGAUGGUAGGAUAGUGGCCUACCAUGGUGGCAACGGGUAACGGGGAAUUAGGGUUCGAUUCCGGAGAGGGAGCCUGAGAAACGGCUACCACAUCCAAGGAAGGCAGCAGGCGCGCAAAUUACCCAAUCCCGAUACGGGGAGGUAGUGACAAUAAAUACUGAUACGGGGCUCUUUUGGGUCUCGUAAUUGGAAUGAGUACAAUCUAAAUCCCUUAACGAGGAACAAUUGGAGGGCAAGUCUGGUGCCAGCAGCCGCGGUAAUUCCAGCUCCAAUAGCGUAUAUUAAAGUUGUUGCAGUUAAAAAGCUCGUAGUUGAACCUUGGGUCUGGCUGGCCGGUCCGCCUCACCGCGAGUACUGGUCCGGCUGGACCUUUCCUUCUGGGGAACCCCAUGGCCUUCACUGGCUGUGGGGGGAACCAGGACUUUUACUGUGAAAAAAUUAGAGUGUUCAAAGCAGGCCUUUGCUCGAAUACAUUAGCAUGGAAUAAUAGAAUAGGACGUGCGGUUCUAUUUUGUUGGUUUCUAGGACCGCCGUAAUGAUUAAUAGGGAUAGUCGGGGGCGUCAGUAUUCAGCUGUCAGAGGUGAAAUUCUUGGAUUUGCUGAAGACUAACUACUGCGAAAGCAUUCGCCAAGGAUGUUUUCAUUAAUCAGGGAACGAAAGUUAGGGGAUCGAAGACGAUCAGAUACCGUCGUAGUCUUAACCAUAAACUAUGCCGACUAGGGAUCGGACGGUGUUCAAAUGAUGACCCGUUCGGCACCUUACGAGAAAUCAAAGUUU